GUGAGGAAUAUUGGUCAAUGGACGAGAGUCUGAACCAGCCAAGUAGCGUGCAGGAUGACGGCCCUAUGGGUUGUAAACUGCUUUUAUACAGGGAUAAAGUAGGGAACGUGUUCCCUUUUGCAGGUACUGUAUGAAUAAGGACCGGCUAAUUCCGUGCCAGCAGCCGCGGUAAUACGGAAGGUCCGGGCGUUAUCCGGAUUUAUUGGGUUUAAAGGGAGCGCAGGCCGGAGGUCAAGCGUGACGUGAAAUGUAGGGGCUCAACCUUUGAAUUGCGUCGCGAACUGGCUUUCUUGAGUGAGUACGACGUCAGCGGAAUUCGUGGUGUAGCGGUGAAAUGCUUAGAUAUCACGAAGAACCCCGAUUGCGAAGGCAGCUGACGAGUCCUUAACUGACGCUAAAGCUCGAAGGUGCGGGUAUCGAACAGGAUUAGAAACCCUAGUAGUCC
rnacentral:rRNA from 1 species